UCACGUGUUUGCGAUUGUGCUGUGCUGUAGUUCAGGUGUGUGUUUCACGUGUUUGUGCAGUGCUGUAGAUCAGGUGUGUGUUUCACGUGUUUGUGAUUGUGCAGUGCUGUAGUUCAGGUGUGUGUUUCACGUAUUUAUGAUUGUGCAGUGCUGUAGUUCAGGUGUGUGUUUCAC